UAGGGGGCGUAGCAAUACGUCACCGGCGGACGGGUGCGUAACACGUGGGAAUGUACCUCUUGGUUCGGAACAACGCAGGGAAACUUGGGCUAAUACCGGAUACGCCCUUACGGGGAAAGAUUUAUUGCCGAAGGAACGGCCCGCGUCCGAUUAGCUUGUUGGUGAGGUAACGGCUCACCAAGGCGACGAUCGGUAGCUGGUCUGAGAGGAUGACCAGCCUCACUGGGACUGAGACACGGCCCAGACUCCUACGGGAGGCAGCAGUGGGGAAUAUUGGACAAUGGGCGCAAGCCUGAUCCAGCCAUGCCGCGUGAGUGAUGAAGGCCCUAGGGUUGUAAAGCUCUUUCAGCGGGGAAGAUAAUGACGGUACCCGCAGAAGAAGCCCCGGCUAACUUCGUG
rnacentral:rRNA from 1 species